UACAGAGGUCUCAAGUGUUGUUCGGAUUCAUUGGGCGUAAAGGGUGCGUAGGCGGCGCGGUAAGUCGGGUGUGAAAUCUCGGAGCUUAACUCCGAAACUGCAUUCGAUACUGCCGUGCUUGAGGACUGGAGAGGAGACUGGAAUUUACGGUGUAGCGGUGAAAUGCGCAGAUAUCGGGAGGAACACCGGUGGCGAAGGCGGUUCUCUGGGCCUG
rnacentral:rRNA from 1 species